AUGGGCCCAGGGGGAGACUCACCUUCCCCUGACAGGGCUGGGAGAGGCGCACCUGCAGGCACUGUGUCCUCAACCACCUCUGGAGCUAGAGUGGAUUCACCUGGUGCCUGCUCCUGAGGAUCCGGCACAGGUGCAGGCGCUUCAGAAACAAGGCCCUGCCCCAGUUCAGCCGGCCCUGGAGGCGGGGACUCCUGUGCAGCCUGGGGUUCCUCCGGUUCAGCCUCUGAAUCGGAUUCCCAGGCCAUCACACCAGGGCUUUUUGUAAGCAAUCAGAGACUGCGCCUGCAUGCAGCUAAAAGUCUCCUCCACCCUUUUCAUGCCUCUUCUGGUUCUGGGAGACAAGAGGAAAGGGGAGCUUGUCACAGCAGAAGCAGGAGACACCCAGGACUCUUCAUCAGCCUGACUCAUCUCUGCCUUUUGGCCUCCCUCACCCCAGUCUCUUGCUUCAGGUUCUGCCUCUGAUUCUGGACUUUGCCACAGACUCUCCGAGCUCACUAAGUCCUGUUACUGCUUUAUCUUCCAACACCUCCUCUUCCCCAUCUUCUCUCUCACCACUCAUCACUGUCCCACCACCCCUCUUCGAUUUCUCUGAGCCUUCUUCCCUUAGUGGUUCCCCAGCUGCUUCCUCCCGCCAUUCCUCUGCAUCCAGCCAGUCCGUGACAGGUGGACUGUGCUCAGCUUGGCGGCUCACAAAUUGCACAGAGCCGACUAUUAUAGGUUUCCGCCAUUCAGUCAAUACCAGUCCUUACAGGUUGUGAUUGACCCCUCGGCCCUGCUUUCAAUAGUGCAACUCUGCGUUGUCAUAAAUUGGUCACUCUCCUUCCUCACUUAAUUUAUCUCUCUGCCUAAUCUCUCUGGCUGCCGAGCAAAUCUUUUCCGAGUUUCUACAUUGGUUAAAAAUAACUUGCCCCUGGCUUUCGAGCAACAUAGGAAAGAUUCCAGUUGGUAUUUGAGAUGAGGUGUGUGCUGAGUUCAAAGGUAGGAUCAAAGCUUUCUCGGAACAGAAAGCAGCUUGCUGAAUCUCAUGCUGUUUGCCGGCUGCAGAUUGGAAGACUGGAGCAAUGAUUAAUUGGAGGACUUGGUGCUUGCCGAAAAUGAGAAUGCAGAUUCACCUGGGGAUGCCCUUCCUCCAUGCUUGACCUUGCACCAUCUUUCUAAAAAGGUAAAAGGCAAAGGACCCCUGGACAGUUCAAGUCCAGUCAAAGGCGACUAUGGGGUUGCGGCGCUCAUCUAACUUUCAGGCUGAGGGAGCCAGUGUUUGUCCACAGACAGGUCGUGACUAAACCGCUUCUGGUGCAACAGAACACCGUGACGGAAGCCAGAGCGCACGGAAAUGCCAUUUACCUUCCUGCCACAGCAGUACCUAUCUAUCUACUUGCACUGGAGUCCUUUCGAACUGCAUGGUUGGCAGGAGCUGGGGCAGAGCAACGGGAGCUCCCCCCAUCACAGGGAUUUGAACCGCUGACCUUCUGAUUGGCAAGCCCAAGAGGCUCAGUGGUUUAGACCACAGCGCCACCCACGUCCCUCUACCAUCUUUCUAGCAUCAGCUAGCCUAUAGGAGCCAAUCCCUGCAAUGGGGAUUCUCCCAUAUUUAUACACAUGAGACCCCAAAAGGGGAAAAUCUCAGAUUCAAAUGGCAAAAUUUGAAAAUUUCCCAUGCAAAAUAUGAAUGGGUGUGGUCAGAGAGUCUGCUAGGUUUUGAACAUCUGUGCAUGAAUUCUGUUCUAGAAAAAAGAAAAAAUGGAGCUAGCCAACCCAUAUGAUGCACGUGAUGUUGGAGAUUCAUUCCCCGUGUCUGCAGUCAUGGGAUUGUUGACUAUCACAUGACGAUGUAUGUUUACAUUCCACAGUGUGGGAAGUGACGGAGACAGGAUGUUUAUGUUACUGUGUUCCGUGAAGUGGGACUAUUGUCCUUUGUUCUUUCUCUCUCUGCUGUCUGAUGAGAAAGAGCUAAAGCAGAAUGCUCCGAGUGUGUUAUAUGUAAAUAAAAGUAGAGUAGCCAAAAUGCUGAGCUACUGAGGUCUGUUACGUAAACUGUGACUACUCUGUGGAUCCCUAAGUGUGCUGAUGUCUCCAAGGCAUCAAUUGCUGUGAUGUUCGGGUUGGAGAAAGCUUUUGAAGCUCCCGAACGAUCGACCAGGAGGGAGAGAACAUGCCAGUCAGGCAUGUGUCUCUGGCAGGGUCCUACACGAGAGUAGGACGCUCCUAAUACCUACACCAUCUCAAGGGUCCUCCAUGAAUCAGGACUGCCCAUUAUUUCCUUGGCAAGAAGUGGAGCAGUCUGUUGCUUUUGAGGUUGGAGAGGGUGGGAAAAAGAAAUGGAGUAGGCAGGCUUGGUGAUCUGCAGGUUGGAAACAGCUCAGCUUCUGGGACUGCAAUGUAAUUAAUGCCCAUUCACUUUUAAAGCUCGCUCCCUUUUCUGCACAGGCUCCUGUAAUGGCUUUAUAGAUUGACCUAUUCAGGAGAGAAGCUGAGCAACUGGAAGUAUGGCUGUGCAUUUAAAGGAGAACCUAUUUGGCGGCGUCUGGUAAUCCAAAUAUGAUUUAGCCUCACUACUUUUCUGUCUCCCUGUUGAAAUUUCUCCUGCUUCUUGCCUGUUUCAUUUCCCACAUGCUGCUGUUCAAAUCCCUAACUGGUUUAUUUUAACUUCAAAUGGUUCCCCAUGCUCCAGGGGCAGGAGGUGACCUUUCACAGGGGGAAGAGGGGUCCAGGUCAACAUGUCACAGCUUAUUCCCAUUUUAUGAGGAUUUUGGCUGCCGUGCCCCAUGAAACCAAAAAACCUGGCCCAAGGGAAAGGCUGAUGCUGUGUUUUAAGUGUGGUUAAGGUGGCUUGUUCUCGAAGCUACCAGCAUGAGUUUGACCAAACUGCGGGAGGCCGUGGAAGACAGGAGUGCCUGACUCCUCUCUGAGUCUGCACUCACACUGUGACUCUUUGCCUCUACACCUGUCCUGGAAGGGCCUCCUUCAUCUGACCCACCUCAAUCACUGACCCCCCAGCUUCUAGCAACUCCCAGCUCAUCCCUCCCCCAGACUGCUCCCCAGUGUCCCACUGUCAGGAAUGAGCCAGUUCCAAGCAAAGGUUUGAAGCCAACUGCAGAAAGCAGCCAGGAACAGAGAGACUUAGAUACUAGUCAGGCAAGGGAGAGCCGGCAGCUGCAGACUUUGGCUCUUCCUAACCUUGACGGGCAGACUGAUAAGGCAGUAGCCGAGAGCAGGCUAGAACACAGAUGAAGCUCACAGGAAGCACAAAAAGGCACAAAUAGACUCAGCCUCUCAGAACAGGAAGAGGUUGGAGUUGACCCACUAGGUCCAAAGAGUCGGUGGAUGGGACGGCUGCUAGAUAGGAAGCAAAACAAGAGAUGUAAGAGUCGUAAGUUCAAUAUCUUCUGUGGACACCGGAAGGAGUCUUCAGAAAGGUCAUCUUGAGUAAUGAUGUUGGAGGCUUUGUUAGAGCCAUCUGGAGCUAUUUGUUUGUUUUUGCAAUAAAUCUGCC